rnacentral:rRNA from 1 species
AGAGUUUGAUCCUGGCUCAGAUUGAACGCUGGCGGCAUGCCUUACACAUGCAAGUCGAACGGCAGCACGGGGGCAACCCUGGUGGCGAGUGGCGAACGGGUGAGUAAUAUAUCGGAACGUGCCCUGGAGUGGGGGAUAACUAGUCGAAAGAUUAGCUAAUACCGCAUACGAUCUACGGAUGAAAGUGGGGGACCCGCAAGGGCCUCAUGCUCCUGGAGCGGCCGAUAUCUGAUUAGCUAGUUGGUGAGGUAAAGGCUCACCAAGGCAUCGAUCAGUAGCUGGUCUGAGAGGACGACCAGCCACACUGGGACUGAGACACGGCCCAGACUCCUACGGGAGGCAGCGUGGGGAUUUGGACAUGGGCGCAGCCUGUCCAGCAUGCGGUGAGUAAGAGCUUCCGUUGAAGU